GGACUACUGGGGUAUCUAAUCCUGUUUGCUCCCCACGCUUUCGAGCCUCAGCGUCAGUAAUGAGCCAGUAUGUCGCCUUCGCCACUGGUGUUCUUCCGAAUAUCUACGAAUUUCACCUCUACACUCGGAGUUCCACAUACCUCUCUCACACUCAAGACACCCAGUAUCAAAGGCAGUUCCAGAGUUGAGCUCUGGGAUUUCACCCCUGACUUAAAUGUCCGCCUACGCUCCCUUUACGCCCAGUAAUUCCGAGCAACGCUAGCCCCCUUCGUAUUACCGCGGCGGCUGGCACUG
rnacentral:misc_RNA from 1 species